rnacentral:rRNA from 1 species
AGGGUUUGAUUAUGGCUCAGGAUGAACGCUAGCGGCAGGCUUAACACAUGCAAGUCGAGGGGUAACAGGGAUUGCUUGCAAUCCGCUGACGACCGGCGCACGGGUGCGUAACGCGUAUGCAACCUACCCUUUACAAGGGGAUAGCCCAGAGAAAUUUGGAAUAAUACCCUAUACGAUCAUUAAUUGGCAUCAAUUAAUGAAGAAAACUCCGGUGGUAAAAGAUGGGCAUGCGUCCUAUUAGUUAGUUGGUAAGGUAACGGCUUACCAAGACUUCGAUAGGUAGGGGUCCUGAGAGGGAGAUCCCCCACACUGGUACUGAGACACGGACCAGACUCCUACGGGAGGCAGCAGUGAGGAAUAUUGGACAAUGGAGGCAACUCUGAUCCAGCCAUGCCGCGUGCAGGAAGACGGCCCUACGGGUUGUAAACUGCUUUUAUACAGGAAGAACUAUAUCUACGUGUAGAUAUUUGACGGUACUGUACGAAUAAGGAUCGGCUAACUCCGUGCCAGCAGCCGCGGUAAUAC